rnacentral:rRNA from 1 species
AGUGAAUGCUGGCGGUAGGCCUAACACAUGCAAGUCGAACGGCAGCACAGUAAGCGCUUGCUCUUACGGGUGGCGAGUGGCGGACGGGUGAGGAAUACAUCGGAAUCUACUUUUUCGUGGGGGAUAACGUAGGGAAACUUACGCUAAUACCGCAUACGACCUACGGGUGAAAUCAGGAGAUCUUCGGACCUUGCGCGAUUGAAUUAGACGAUGUCGGAUUAGCUAGUUGGCGGGGUAAAGGCCCACCAAGGCGACGAUCCGUAGCUGGUCUGAGAGGAUGAUCAGCCACACUGGAACUGAGACACGGUCCAGACUCCUACGGGAGGCAGCAGUGGGGAAUAUUGGACAAUGGGCGCAAGCCUGAUCCAGCCAUACCGCGUGGGUGAAGAAGGCCUUCGGGUUGUAAAGCCCUUUUGUUGGGAAAGAAAAGCAGCAGGUUAAUACCCCGCUGUUCUGACGGUACCCAAAGAAUAAGCACCGGCUAACUUCGUG